rnacentral:rRNA from 1 species
GGUUCGAUUAUGGCUCAGAUUGAACGCUGGCGGGAUGCUUUACACAUGCAAGUCGAACGGCAGCACGGACUUCCCGGUCUGGUGGCGAGUGGCGAACGGGUGAGUAAUGUAUCGGAACGUGCCUAGUAGCGGGGGAUAAUUCACAGAAAGGUAGCUGCAUUACCGGCAUACGCCCUUCGGGGGAAAGCGGGGACCUUCGGGCCUCGCACUAUUAGAGCGGCCGAUAUCGGAUUAGCUAGUUAUGGGGUAACGGCUCACCAAGGCGACGAUCCGUAACUGGCUCUUGAGGACGACCAGCCACACUGGGACUGACACGGCCCAGACUCCGCAUGGAGGCAGCAGUGGGGACCGACAAUGGGGGAAACCCCGAUCCAGCCAUCCUGCGUGUAGCAUGAAGGCCUUCGGCCAAAAGCACUUUUGGCAGAAAGAAACGGCACGGAUAAUACCCCGUGCAACUGACGGUACCUGCAGAAUAAGCACCGGCUAACUACGCCAGCAGCCGCGGUAAUACGUAGGGUGCAAGCGUUAAUCGGAAUUACUGGGCGAAGUGUGCGCGCAGGCGGUUCGAAAGAAAGAUGGAAAACCAGAGCUUAACUUUGAACUGCAUUUUUAACUACCGAGCUAGAGUGUGUCAGAGGGAGGUGGAAUUCCGCGUAGCAGUGAAAUGCGUAGAUAUGCGGAGGAACACCGAUGGCGAAGGCAGCCUCCUGGGAUAACACUGACGCUCAUGCACCGAAAGCGUGGGGAGCAAAACAGGAUUAGAUACCCGGUAACCACGCCCUAAACGAUGUCAACUAGCUGUUGGGGCCUUCGGGCCUGGUAGCGCAGCCAUCAUGCAGUUGACUCGCCUGGGGAGUACGGUCGCAAGAUUAAAACUCAAAAGGAAUUGGAUUUUGGGACCUCCGCACAAGCGGUAGAUGAUGUGGGAUUAAUCUGAUGCAACGCGAAAACCUUACCUACCCUUGACAUGGGAAUCCCGAAGUGAUUUGGGAGCUGCAAGAGAACCGGAACACAGUGCUGCAUGGCUGUCGUCAGCUCGUGUCGAGAUGUUGGGUUAAGUCCCGCAACGAGCGCAACCUCCUUGUCAUUAGUUGCUACGAAAGGGCACUCUAAUGAGACUGCCGGUGACAACCGGAGGAAGGUGGGGAUGACGUCAAGUCCUCAUGGCCCUUAUGCGGUAGGGCUUCACACGUCAUACAAUGGUCGGGACAGAGGGUCACAACCCGCGAGGGGAGCCAAUCCCAGAAACCCGAUCAAAUCCGAUCGCAGUCUGCAACCCUGACUGCGUGAAGUCGGAAUCGCUAGUAAUCGCGGAUCAGCAUGUCGUGAAUACGUUCCCGGGUCUUGUACACACCGCCCGUCACAUGGGAGUGGGUUUUACCAGAAGUAGUUAGCCUAACCGUAAGGAGGGCGAUUACCACGGUAGGAUUCAUGACUGGGGUGAAGUCGUAACAAGGUAG